rnacentral:lncRNA from 1 species
CGCUCCACAUCGGCUGCAGUUGUCUCAAGGAGCUCGGCCUUCUUCUUCUUAGCGGCCGAGCUCGGCGAGUCGGACUCCUCAUUGUCGGGCAUGCAUCCCAGGCCCACGAGUAGGCCCUGUGCGGGGCGUACUCGGACGUAAUCGAGGCUUGAGGGCUACGCAACAAAGGAGCGUGGCCCACUCGGACUCCCGGAGACUAGUCGACAUAUAUAUAGAAACUACCGUCUACACCGAGUAGGACUCUGUAACUGUAUCCGACUAAGAUUCUAAACCUGUAACCCUGCUCCCCCGAUCAUAUAAGGGUGGGCAGG